rnacentral:rRNA from 1 species
AGUGAACGCUGGCGGUAGGCCUAACACAUGCAAGUCGAACGGCAGCACAGUAAGAGCUUGCUCUUACGGGUGGCGAGUGGCGGACGGGUGAGGAAUACAUCGGAAUCUACUUUUUCGUGGGGGAUAACGUAGGGAAACUUACGCUAAUACCGCAUACGACCUACGGGUGAAAGCAUGGGAUCUUCGGACCUUGCGCGAUUGAAUGAGCCGAUGUCGGAUUAGCUAGUUGGCGGGGUAAAGGCCCACCAAGGCGACGAUCCGUAGCUGGUCUGAGAGGAUGAUCAGCCGCACUGGAACUGAGACACGGUCCAGACUCCUACGGGAGGCAGCAGUGGGGAAUAUUGGACAAUGGGCGCAAGCCUGAUCCAGCCAUACCGCGUGGGUGAAGAAGGCCUUCGGGUUGUAAAGCCCUUUUGUUGGGAAAGAAAAGCAGCAGGUUAAUACCCCGCUGUUCUGACGGUACCCAAAGAAUAAGCACCGGCUAACUUCGUG